AUGCUCACUUCGGCAGCACAUAUACUAAAAUUGGAAUAAUACAGAGAUUAGCAUAGCCUCUGCACAAGGAUGAUAUGCAAAUUCAAGAAGUGUUUCAUGGUUUU